AUUAGUCGUCGCGCUGACUUGUCUGUUAUCGACUGUCCAAGGAGGAGCAUUCACCACAUCCACAUACUCCAAUGAAAACCCCAUGGACGACGAAGACAGCGUUGCCAGUGAACCGUUCGCCACAAAUUCCACACCUAGGCAUAUUUGCAGGACAACAACAGGGAGAAAGUGUAAAAGGGCAGAUGGAAUAAGUUCGAUUUGUGAGUUGGUGCAAACCAUGCGUCUGAUGAAACAUACAUAUGCUUCAUGCAACAGCAAAUGCAGGCUGGCCGGGAUUUGAAAAAGGAAAAUGGAGUUUGAGCAGGAGCAGAGUGAACGGGAAAGAGAAGCCUCAAAUGCUUUGAACGCGCAGAGAAGAUUUGGAGAGGUUUUGUUGUCACAACGUUGAGAUCUUCCUGUAGAUUAACAAUGUAAAAGCCAUUGUAUAGCACUGUGUAUGUAUAUAGUUAAUUUGAGUGUGUAGUUUGUGAAUAAUUAAAGUAUUAAGGUAUAGUUAAUUUAUAAGUGUGUACACUUCAUCUAAUUAUUGUUUUAUAAUAACAGUUCAAGCACUUUAAAAAUAGACAAUUUUAUAUUCAUGUUCAAACAAUUUGUGAUUUUAUUUUUCUUAAACACACAGUACUUAGCAUGGUGCAGCUAUAAACAGCACAGAUAAAAUACAGAACAGACCAGUGUAUCCUUUACAUGGUGUUUAGUUUACAUGUCCAAACUAAAAUACUCAAGAAGAGCUUCACGCACAUCAGUACCUUCUUUCCCUCCUCUUUCUGGUAAUAUAUGUACUGCUUGUGUAAAGUCUGGUGUAACCGCCCAUUCAUCAAUGAAAUACUCUCCAUGUUUUCCACAAAGGUUGUAGAGCACGCAACAUGUCAAAACCAUUUGCUUAAUCAGAUUCACAUUACAGUCAUUUCUGGAGGGGGUAUGCAGGGUCACCAACGACUUAGUAGCCCAAGUCACGUCCCACAAUAGUCCUUGUGGUGUUUUGGAAAAGGUUUCCACUGGAUACUAAUGUCCAUAGUGUAGAAUGUUUCAGCACUCUCGCAAUGUGCACGCUGCCUGGACACCCCACACACAUAUAAUGAGUGUGAUUAUAGAGUAGUGGUUAGGGCUCUGGACUCUUGACCGGAGGGUUGUGGGUUCAAUCCCCAGUGAGGGACACUGCUGUUGUACCCUUGAGCAAGGUACUUUACCUAGAUUGCUCCAGUAAAAAAAAAAAAAAAAAAAAAAAAAAAAAAAAACUAUAUAAAUGGGUAA